UACGAAGGGGGCGAGCGUCGUUCGGAGUUACUGGGCGUAAAGGGCGCGUAGGCGGCGUUCCAAGUUAGGCGUGAAAGCCCCGGGCUCAACCUGGGAAUAGCGCUUAAGACUGGGAUGCUCGAGUGCGGGAGAGGUGAGUGGAAUUCCCAGUGUAGAGGUGAAAUUCGUAGAUAUUGGGAAGAACACCAGUGGCGAAGGCGGCUCACUGGCCCGCAACUGACGCUGAGGCGCGACAGCGUGGGGAGCAAACAGG
rnacentral:rRNA from 1 species